ACUUGGGUGCUUAGCCUGGGAGUGACUUUCUGUCUUAGUUUGUCCAGCCCUGGUACUGCUGGCAUCGGCUCUCUGGGGAAAGUUGCAGUUCUGCUGUUAAAACACAAGGAGCAGCCUGGAGAAUUUUGAGCUGCGUCACACAGCUCAGAGGGAGAGAGAGAGUGAAGGAGAGCAAGCUCUGUCAGUAGAUCUACUAGCAACAGCCCUGCUGCAGCAAGAGACACAGAGAGAGGGAAUCAGGAAAGAGAAGUAAUAACAACAUUGGAAAGCAUGGCUCUUUUACCUAUCUGGCAUCUUUUUAUUUUUUUAAAGAAAUAUUAUUUGGGACAAUAUGAGUGGAUUUUGUCCACUGGCGGUACUGGAAAGAUGCAACGCAGUUAAUUCCGCAAGGGGGGGCAGAUGUAGCAAGGGUUAAUGUGAGGAAAAUUCUGGAAUGUUCUGUGCUGCGGCGGAGCAAGCAGAGAGUUGAGGACUGCACAGGUGUAGAUGAACAGACCUCAUGAUUCCUCUUUUUCCUUCCUCCUCUGUCUUAAAGCAGGCAUUCUGGAAUGUAUGUGUGUUUUCAACGCUGGCCAUUUAAAAAGCAAAGAAAAAAGAAAGCAGGAACUUAACUACUGUGGAUUAGUUUGGUUUAUGACUGGUCCAAGUGACGCAGAAGGAAAAACAAAUAUUCUGUGACUCGAGUUGCAUCAGUGACAGGCGUGUUUCCGGCUGCUGUGAGACAAGCCAUGAUGACGUGACAUUAUUAUAGGCUUCAGAGGAGACAACAGAAAGAGACUUUUGAUGGGUGUCUACCUCUGUGAGUGGAGAAACUUAAGUAAUUUACUUGUACUAUAAAUUCUUCAGGUCACGGGUGUAUCUAUAAAAAUUUGGACAGAUUUGUAUGUUGAAAUCAGUCUAGGGUUACAUCCAUGUAAAUUCAAAGUCAGUGCUGUUUCUGGAUUGAAUGAAAACCGAACAUAGUGGUACAUCGUCUUCUCGUUUUUCCCUCCUCCCCCACAGUGAGUCCCUGCUCUGCAGAGGUGUCUCCUCCGGAGGCAGUCUUGCGUCCUGCAGUGCUAGUUCCGCAGAGGAGGGCAACAGGAGAAACAACUAUGAUGGCUGCUUUGGUGCAGGGAUGGUUCUGUGCUGAGAUGGCAUUUGUUUCUGGCAGGAGCGGGGAGAACAUAACGCAGCUGGGUUAUUUACUUGAGCCACAACAGAAUAUUUUACUUCAUCUGCAUUAUUCAAUAAUGAAGCCAAGAGCUCGUCUCAGGGAUUGGCAUCACCAAACGUCUGUUGAAGUCCAAACUUGAACAGAAGCCCCUGUCCCUCCUUAUCCUCCGCAUUGCUGCCAAAUAUGCAAGCACCAACAGGAACAAGAGCAGCAGCCUUCACUGGAUUUGAGUCAAGCACAGAGGAACAGGGCACCAAGCCAGUCUGCAGAAACUGGAAAGAAGAACUUGUAAUACCAGUGAUCCCUUCUCUUUUAGACAAGGCUUCCAGCAAAGGCCAGCAGAUGUCUCUUAAAAUUAUCCAGAGUCUCCUCUACAGUAUAAACACCCCAACUGCUUUACACAUAUAAACUUGACAGUUGGCAUAAUCAUCCAAAUAAUAUAUAGCGGAAGCAGUGAAAGAGGAAAGGCAAAAAUCUAUCAUACCAUGUUGCACAGUAAUUCUUUAAAAUUAAGAACUGAAGAAGUUACUCAUAUUGACAGUGGAUGAACACUCCAGACAUAUGCACCUGUUAGUUAAGAAGAAUAAAUUGAUAGAUAGUGCACCACAACUGAUUUUUUUUAAAAAAAGAGAAACUACUGUAUUAGGGAACAUUUGGAGACGAUUUGUGACCAACACUUAAAAACAAAAACAGAAUUUCAGUUUAAUCCAGUAAAGAAGGUGAAGCUAAUACACAAAAGAAGAAAGAUAGAAUUAGAGUUGAAAAACAUAAGAAUGAAAGAUAACUAUUGAUGAUAGGAAAAAGGAAACAAAGAAGAAUUAUAUGAAAGAAAGCUUUGAUAUAAGACUAAUCUACUCAUGUGGCUUUGGAAGAAAUGUAAGAUAGGAAAAGAAAGAUGAACUCCAAAUGCUAUUUUAAACAACAGAACACUGCUUUUUCUGAAUAUACACACUGAGAAGAUUAAAAAAUGGGUUAGAAGACAGGAACAAACAAGAGGGAUAUACAUUGAGUAAGAAAUGAAGAUGAGAGAGUGCAAAGGAAAUGGAGAACAAAUUUAGGAAAACUAAGAACUACAUCUGUACUUGAACCUAAAAUAGAAAAAGAGAUCAAAGAAGAAACCAAGGAAACACUGGUGACAAGAAAACAAAAUUGCAAUACAGGAAGCUUCAUCAAGAAACUUAUAUCAAUGAGCAUUAUAUAUUUGGGGGCUUGUAGUUCACCAAAGAAAUAAGUGAGAGAUUUUUGGAUAGCAAAUAGGUAUUUCCAGGCAAUAAUGUGUAGUAAGACCAUCAUUCUGGAAAGUGCGAGGAAUCAUGUCUAAAGUAUACAUUCCUCUGUGUCCCCCCCCCCCAUGUGUGGAGGAAA